UUUUGUUUUCUUUUCAAAUAAUACAUCUUUUAAUUAUAUUUGUUUAUUAGAUAAAUUAUGUGAUUUUAAUGAUUUUCAUUUUAAGUAAUGAUUUUAAGUUACUUUUAAUUGCUUUUAGGAUUUAAAUAUUUAUAUAUAUUUAAAAGACAUCGUGUUUAGGAAUAAUGACUAUUCCUAAAGCCUUCCGCGUCCUCCACCGCUCGGCACCUAUUGUCCACCAUUAGGUCUUCCAAUCAAAAGAAGGCAGAUGUUAUUCGUCAUCCAUAUUUUGCCAUCGUCUCAUCACCGUUUAAUAUAUUUUCAAUUGUUGUUCGUCGAAUUCACAUCUUCUUGAAAGACUUGAAAGAGCACCGCCAUCAUCAUCUUCAUCGUUUCUCACACCAUUUUCUAUUUUCCGUCUGCUGAUUUCUUUGUUCAUAUCAUAACGGAGGACGAUACGGAGGAAGACAAACUUCACUUGAUGAACAAAUUCUCGAUUUGACGUCGUGCUCACUCCCAUCUGUUUCUAUAUAUGAUUAGGGUUGUAUGCCUUUUUUUCUACUCUCGUAUUCUUGUUUUUCGUUGUUACAGUUACCUUUUUGUGCAUUUGUUGAUAGUAGGGAGAUUGUUUGAAAGACAAAUAAAAAACUACAAGGGAUUCAAAAUAAAGUUCUCAACGGUUUGGCGAAUAUUAUUUCUUUUAGGGCCAUGAAUUUAAUAUAUUUUUCUUUUUUUCCAAUAAUACCAGUUUUAAUUAUAUCUGUUUGUUAGAUAAAUUGUGUGAGUUUAAUGAUUUUCAUAAAUUACGUGACAUUUUAAGUAAUUAUUUUCGGUUACUUUUAAUCGUUUUUGGGAUUUAAAUAUUUAUAUACAUAUUUAAAGGACAUGGCGUUUAGGAAUAGUGACUAUUUCAUUCACCUUCAGCGUCCUCCGCUGCUCGGUACCUAUUGUCCACCGUUGGGUCUUCCAGUUAGAAGAAGGCAGAUGUUAUUCACCGUCAAUCGUUUUCCUUCUUCUUAUCACCGUUUAAUAUCUUUUCAAUUGUUGUUCGUCGAAUUCUUGUCUUCUUGAAAGAGCACCGCCAUCAUAAUCUUCAUCGUUUCUCACACCAUUUUCUAUUUUUCGUCUGUUAAUUUUUUUGUUCAUAUCUCAACGGAGGAAGACAAAUUUCACUUGAUGAACAAAUUCUCGAUUUGACGUCGUGUUCACUCCCAUAUGUUUCUAUAUACAAUUAGUGUUGUACGCUUUUUUUUCAACUCUCGCAUUCCUAUUUUUCGUUGUUAUAGUUACCUUUUUGUGUUUUUUUGAUGUACAGGUCGUCGGAGAUGAUGAAGUGCAAAGUCUUGCGGUGAGUUCCAUUCCUUUUCACUCCCGCUACUACCACAACCUAUGAACUUAUUUGGGGCAAAAUACAGACAUUGCCACCGAUGGAGAAGAAGACCCGAAAAAACCAUGGCUCUGUCAAUUAAUACCUCUCAUCGUUCCCCCUUUUCUCUAUGAAAUGUUGGCUUCCACUUCUCCUGUCACCUUCAUCGUCGUCAUUUACCAACUGUAGAAAUCGGGUCUCAACCAACGAAAGCCCUAAACUCUGAUAGAUUUGUAAGGAGCGAUGACUGUACAUGCUCAAUCGAUAAUUUAUUUUUUUAGGUAAUUCUCACCACAAACCACUAUGCUUAGGUCUAUUGCUUUUUCAAUUAGCAGUUACUUCCACUACUGAAUGAAAGUAAUUAUUUUUCCAAAGUUUUGUCGUCUGCUUCAUUCAUCUCUGUCAUUCUCAAAUCUAAAGACAACGCCUGUGACCAGUUUCAGAAUGCGAAUGAUAUCCACGCACCUUUUAUAUGAACCAUUGUUCCAAAUUGAUUGAUUACACCAUCAACUGCUUUAAAAGAAGGGACACGUGAAAAGAUAGAUGAUGCUAUUUUCCUUGAUUCCUUUUGUUCAUUCCAUUGGUUUUGGUCUAGGUAAUGCAAUCUAAUAACGUUUAGUAUUGUAGUGGCUCUUUCAGGUUAUGAGUUUCAGACGGAUUUUUGCAUAAAGGUAUGGGCUAAUUGCUUGUAGGCCAAAUUGAGCAUUUUUUUCUUCAAAAAAUUAGGACAUUUGUUGAUAAUGAAUCAACUUUACUGUAGUAGACAUAUUGGUUGCAUGAAUGAGCUUACUGGAAAAGCUUUGAUAUGUGAUGAUCUAAAGCUUUUUGCUUUUAUUGUAUAUCGAUGAAAGUUGUCUAUAUAUCUUGAUUGCUUCUAAACUCA